rnacentral:rRNA from 1 species
AGCGUUGUGAGGCGUUGAGCUAACAUGUACUAAUGACUCGAGAGGCUUAACCAU